CAGUAGCCACGGUAAUACGGAGGAUCCAAGCGUUAUCCGGAAUCAUUGGGUUUAAAGGGUCCGUAGGCGGUCUUGUAAGUCAGUGGUGAAAGCCCAUCGCUCAACGGUGGAACGGCCAUUGAUACUGCAGGACUUGAAUUAUUGGGAAGUAACUAGAAUAUGUAGUGUAGCGGUGAAAUGCUUAGAGAUUACAUGGAAUACCAAUUGCGAAGGCAGGUUACUACCAAUUGAUUGACGCUGAUGGACGAAAGCGUGGGUAGCGAACAGGAUUAGAUACCCGGGUAGUCCCUGUCUCUUAUAA
rnacentral:rRNA from 1 species